AGUGAGGGAUUUUGCGCAAUGGGGGAAACCCUGACGCAGCAACGCCGCGUGAGUGAAGAAGGCCUUUGGGUCGUAAAGCUCUGUCGACAGGGAAGAAGUUGAGAUAUAUUAACAGUGUAUUUCAUUGACGGUACCUGUAGAGGAAGCACCGGCUAACUCCGUGCCAGCAGCCGCGGUAAUACGGGGGGUGCAAGCGUUAUUCGGAAUCAUUGGGCGUAAAGGGCACGCAGGCGGUUCUGUCAGUCAGAUGUGAAAGCCCGGGGCUUAACCCCGGACGUGCAUUUGAAACAGCAGGACUUGAGUAUGGUAGAGGAAAGCGGAAUUCCUGGUGUAGAGGUGAAAUUCGUAGAUAUCAGGAGGAACACCGGUGGCGAAGGCGGCUUUCUGGACCAAAACUGACGCUGAGGUGCGAAGGCGUGGGUAGCGAACAGGAUUAGAUACCCUGGUAGUCCACGCAGUAAACGUUGUACACUAGGUGUAGCGGGUAUUGACCCCUGCUGUGCCGGAUCUAACGCAUUAAGUGUACCGCCUGGGGAGUACGGCCGCAAGGCUAAAACUCAAAGAAAUUGACGGGGGCCCGCACAAGCGGUGGAGCAUGUGGUUUAAUUCGACGCAACGCGAAGAACCUUACCCAGACUUGACAUCCUGUGAACCUCUUAGAAAUAAGAGAGUGCCUUCGGGAGCACAGAGACAGGUGCUGCAUGGCUGUCGUCAGCUCGUGUCGUGAGAUGUUCGGUUAAGUCCGGCAACGAGCGCAACCCUUGUCUUCAGUUGCCAGCACGUAAAGGUGGGAACUCUGAAGAGACUGCCCCGGUUAACGGGGAGGAAGGUGGGGAUGACGUCAAGUCCUCAUGGCCCUUAUGUCUGGGGCUACACACGUGCUACAAUGGUAUGUACAAAGGGCAGCAAGCAUGCGAGUGCAAGCUAAUCCCUUAAAGCAUAUCCCAGUCCGGAUUGGAGUCUGCAACUCGACUCCAUGAAGUUGGAAUCGCUAGUAAUCGUGGAUCAGCAUGCCACGGUGAAUACGU
rnacentral:rRNA from 1 species